rnacentral:sRNA from 1 species
CUUUAAAAAUCUGGAUCAAGCUGAAAAUUGAAACACUGAACAACGAAAGUUGUUCGUGAGUCUCUCAAAUUUUCGCAAUCAGAAGUGAAACAUCUUCGG